rnacentral:rRNA from 1 species
AAUGAACGUUGGCGGCGUGGAUUAGGCAUGCAAGUCGAACGCUUCAUGUAGCAAUACAUGAGGAGUGGCGUAAGGGAGAGUAAUACAUAGUUAGCUACCCUCGGGUCUGGGAUAGCGGCGGGAAACUGCCGGUAAUACCAGAUGAUAUCUUCGGAUCAAAGGUGUAAUUUCGCCCGAGGAGGUGACUGUGUCCUAUCAGCUUGUUGGCGGGU